GGCUCGGAGACAGGUGCUGCAUGGCUGUCGUCAGCUCGUGUCGUGAGAUGUUGGGUUAAGUCCCGCAACGAGCGCAACCCUUGUCUUUAAUUGCCAUCAUUGAGUUGGGCACUUUAAAGAGACUGCCGGUGUUAAACCGGAGGAAGGUGGGGAUGACGUCAAGUCCUCAUGGCCUUUAUGCCCAGGGCUACACACGUGCUACAAUGGGUGGUACAAAGAGAGGCAAGCUCGCGAGAGUAAGCAAAUCUCAAAAAGCCAUCCUCAGUUCGGAUUGGAGUCUGCAACUCGACCCCAUGAAGUCGGAAUCGCUAGUAAUCGCGGAUCAGCAUGCCCGCGGUCCGAAUACGUUCCCGGGCCUU
rnacentral:rRNA from 1 species